rnacentral:rRNA from 1 species
UACGUAGGGGGCAAGCGUUGUCCGGAAUCAUUGGGCGUAAAGCGCGUGUAGGCGGCUUGGUAAGUCCGCUCUGAAAGCCCGGGGCUCAACCUCGAGACGCCGAUGGAAACCAUCUGACUAGAGUCCGGAAGAGGAGAGUGGAAUUCCUGGUGUAGCGGUGAAAUGCGCAGAUAUCAGGAAGAACACCGGUGGCGAAGGCGGGUCUCUGGGCCGUAACUGACGCUGAGGAGCGAAAGCGUGGGGAGCGAACAGG